rnacentral:rRNA from 1 species
CAGACGGGUGAGUAAUGUAUAGGAAUCUACCUAGUAGUACGGAAUAAUUGUUGGAAACGGCAGCUAAUACCGUACACGCCCUACGGGGGAAAAAUUUAUUGCUAUUAGAUGAGCCUAUAUUAGAUUAGUUAGUUGGUGAGGUAAAGGCUUACCAAGACAAUGAUCUAUAGCUGAUCUGAGAGGAUGAUCAGCCACACUGGAACUGAGAUACGGUCCAGACUCCUACGGGAGG